AGGAGGAACAACCACAGUGGCGGCGUCCAGCUCUGGAGCCCUGGAUUCAGCUCCCGCAGUAAUGGAGCUCUCCGUCUGCAGGGCCUGGAUGCUCCGGGGCGGG
rnacentral:pre_miRNA from 1 species